UACGUAGGGUGCAAGCGUUAAUCGGAAUUACUGGGCGUAAAGCGUGCGCAGGCGGUUUUGUAAGUCUGUCGUGAAGCCCCGGGCUCAACCUGGGAAUUGCGAUGGAGACUGCAAGGCUUGAAUCUGGCAGAGGGGGGUAGAAUUCCACGUGUAGCAGUGAAAUGCGUAGAGAUGUGGAGGAACACCGAUGGCGAAGGCAGCCCCCUGGGUCAAGAUUGACGCUCAUGCACGAAAGCGUGGGGAGCGAACGGG
rnacentral:rRNA from 1 species